CGCGAUCGUCAUCAGGCACAAAUCGUGGGGAUUAUGUUGCGCUAAAUAUUCUUUCUUCUGCGGAUUUUGAAACAGCUUCGAAAGGCAAAAGGAAAUAUAAACCUGGGGCAAAAUUAUAUGAAGUGGAGAGGCUUAUCAGCAAGCGGAAAUCCUCGAUUAAAAAGGAUGAAGAGUAUCUAGUAAAGUGGAAAGAUUGGCCGGCUUGGACAAGCCCUUGGGAGCCUUCUACCCACUUGUCUAAUGAUUUAAUCAGGUCAAAUGAAUUUUGAAUUAGGCUAAAUUGAAUAAUUCAUUGGUUAACUUUUUACAGUGGCCUUAGAAACAAUAAUUCUAAUUGUUUUCUCUCUAAACUAAAUCUGACAGGGGUUACCCGUAUCCAAAGAUUAACACUGAACAACUAGAGAAGGCUGCUGUUGUUUUUACUGAAGCAAUAUUAGGCAUUCUUAAAAGCAAGGCUGUGAAAGCCACCUACUCAGCAGAAAUUCCAGUUGAUCAUGAUAUCCUCAGAUAUAUAUUUAGAGGUCGUGGAACCUUGUCAGGGGAUGGGAUUUCAAUGGUAUAUGAAAUCACAUAUUUUAGUAGGUUUUGCCUUCCCUCUUAUUGGUACUAUUAUUUGAAUGAGCUUGGGCAAGGUAUUGCUAUAAGUUUCCCCCUUAAAUUAAAACCGGUACUUAAGUUUACCAAGAAACGCUUCAUCUUUUCUAAUGGUAAACUUAAACAGGCACCCAUGUCUCCAGUUGAAAAUGUUAUUAUUACAGUGAAUAGGAGGGCAUGCGAUAGAUUUAAUAUUUAAUCCAAUGUAAAAAUAAACAAUAAUGAACACUAUUAUUGUUAUUACUAUUUUUAAAUGAAGUUUUUUUUACAUCUAGCAACAUACGAAUCAGAACUGUAGCAAUGAAACGAUGAAUUAAUUUUUUCAAGUCUGGAAUGAAAAUAAUUUAAAUAUAAUUAUGAUAUAACAUAUUGUCAACUUAAUAUAGACAUAGUGUUCAUUAUGCUUGUAUGAAAAUGUCUCAGUACAUUUUAUUUUA